AUUGAACGCUGGCGGCAUGCUUUACACAUGCAAGUCGAACGGUAACAGGCCGCAAGGUGCUGACGAGUGGCGAACGGGUGAGUAAUGCAUCGGAACGUGCCCAGUCGUGGGGGAUAACGCAGCGAAAGCUGUGCUAAUACCGCAUACGAUCUGUGGAUGAAAGCGGGGGACCUUCGGGCCUCGCGCGAUUGGAGCGGCCGAUGUCAGAUUAGGUAGUUGGUGGGGUAAAGGCUCACCAAGCCGACGAUCUGUAGCUGGUCUGAGAGGACGACCAGCCACACUGGGACUGAGACACGGCCCAGACUCCUACGGGAGGCAGCAGUGGGGAAUUUUGGACAAUGGGCGCAAGCCUGAUCCAGCAAUGCCGCGUGCAGGAAGAAGGCCUUCGGGUUGUAAACUGCUUUUGUACGGAGCGAAAAGGCUCCCUCUAAUACAGGGGGCUCAUGACGGUACCGUAAGAAUAAGCACCGGCUAACUACGUGCCAGCAGCCGCCGUAAAAC
rnacentral:rRNA from 1 species